rnacentral:rRNA from 1 species
AUGGCGCGAGGAAACCUCGUUCAUGGGCUACCUCACAUCGAGCAUGCCGACGAGUUGUGCGAUGCGUGUCUUGCCGGGAAGCAGCGGCGCCUGCCCUUUCUAGAAAAGGCACGCUAUCGGGCGCAGAAACCCCUGGAGCUGGUUCACGGGGACCUCUGCGGCCCAAUCACCCCGGCAACGCCAGGAGGGCGUCGCUACAUCCUGCUGCUCGUCGACGACUAUAGCAGGUUCAUGUGGGUGCUGCUCCUCGCCUCCAAGGAUGAGGCAGAGCAAGCCAUUGUCAAGCAGCAAGCGGCGGCAGAGGUCGAGGGUGGCCAAAAGCUGCGCGUGCUGCACACGGACCGUGGCGGCGAGUUCACGUCGGCCACGUUCUACAAGCACUGCGACGAGAAAGGGGUGCUGUGA